GAUGAAGAACGUAGCGAAAUGCGAUAAGUAGUGUGAAUUGCAGAAUUCAGUGAAUCAUCGAAUCUUUGAACGCACAUUGCGCCCCUUGGUAUCCCGAGGGGCAUGCCUGUUCGAGCGUCAUUUCACCACUCAAGCCUGGCUUGGUGUUGGGCGACGUCCCCUUUGUGGACGCGCCUCGAAACGCUCGGCGGCGUGGCACCGGCUUUAAGCGUAGCAGAAUCUUUCGCUUUGGAAGUCGGGGCCCCGUCUGCCGGAAGACCUACUCGCAAGGUUGACCUCGGAUCAGGCAGGGAUACCCGCUGAACUUAAGCAUAUCAAUAAGCGGAGGA
rnacentral:misc_RNA from 1 species